GGGGGUUUAGAUCAGUGGCAGAGCACUUUCUUACCAAGGGUGAGGCCCUGGGUUCAAUCCCCAGAAACACACA
rnacentral:tRNA from 1 species